rnacentral:lncRNA from 1 species
ACCUGUAUAAAAUCUCCACCAAACACCAUUAUCUUCCCUUCAAAUGGUUGAGAAGUAUCCAUUAUAUCUCUCAAGCAUCUAUAAACUAUUUCUAUUGUUAGUCUUUUUGUCAUCGGUGCUUCAACCUAUGUAAUCAAUUUUUCAGUGCGUAAUAAUUUUGCUUGUCCACUUUGCUUGGAUAUACCACACAUGCUCGACUCUGUUGGGCUUAAUGGUAUAUUAAAUUGUGAGUGUGUAGUUCUUCCUCUAGGCAUAAUGGACGCUGCUACCCCAUAUAUGUUGCUGUGGCAAGUGCUAUCACUUCUAUUGAUUGAUGUGUUUGAUUUUCUUCUAUAUUUGGCAAAUCAUAAUUCUUUAUAUCUUUUUCCAUGCUCUGUAAAUGGUAGUUUAUACUUUUCAAUGUCAAAGAAAUUUGUUUCUACAUUGAGUCUUGGUGCAUUUUCUUAAAAUUCUCAAAUAUGGCAUCAAAGUAAUCAUCCCAUCUCUCACAUCAGCAGGCCCACAAUAUUCUAAUAUAAUUGCAAAUAAUCUCCUCAUUUCUUAUGGCAUCUGGAACGUGACUGCUUCACUCAUACAUUCAGAUGUAAUAUUAUCUGACUCAAG